UGAGCAACCUGCCCCUUGCUUUGGGAUAACCCUCGGAAACGGGGGCUAAUACCGAAUGUUCACUGCUGGACGCAUGUUUGGUGGUGGAAAGUUUUUCGGCUGGGGAUGGGCUCGCGGCCUAUCAGCUUGUUGGUGGGGUGAUGGCCUACCAAGGCGACGACGGGUAGCCGGCCUGAGAGGGCGACCGGCCACACUGGGACUGAGACACGGCCCAGACUCCUACGGGAGGCA
rnacentral:rRNA from 1 species